rnacentral:rRNA from 1 species
AGAGUUUGAUCCUGGCUCAGAACGAACGCUGGCGGCGCGUCUUAAGCAUGCAAGUCGAACGGCAUGAGGAAGCUUGCUUCCUCAGAGAGUGGCGGACUGGUGAGUAACACGUGGGUGACCUACCCUUGAGAUGGGGAUAGCCAUUAGAAAUAGUGGAUAAUACCGAAUACGCUCUACGGACUCUGGUUUGUAGAGGAAACAGGCUACGGCCUGGCUCGAGGAUGGGCCCGCGUCCCAUUAGCUAGUUGGUGAGGUAAGAGCCCACCAAGGCGACGAUGGGUAUCCGGCCUGAGAGGGUGUACGGACACAUUGGGACUGAGAUACGGCCCAAACUCCUACGGGAGGCAGCAGCUAAGAAUAUUCCGCAAUGGACGAAAGUCUGACGGAGCGACGCCGCGUGGAUGAAGAAGGCCGAAAGGUUGUAAAAUCCUUUUGCUGAUGAAGAAUAAGCGGUGUAGGGAAUGACAUCAUGAUGACAUUAGUCGGUGAAUAAGCCCCGGCUAACUACGUGCCAGCAGCCGCGGUAACACGUAGGGGGCAAGCGUUGUUCGGAAUUAUUGGGCGUAAAGGGCAUGUAGGCGGUUUGGUAAGCCUGAUGUGAAAUCCUGCAGCUUAACUGUAGAAUUGCAUUGGGUACUGCCGAACUUGAAUCACUGAGGGGAAACUAGAAUUCCAGGUGUAGGGGUGGAAUCUGUAGAUAUCUGGAAGAAUACCGGUGGCGAAGGCGGGUUUCUAGCUGAUGAUUGACGCUGAGGUGCGAAAGUGCGGGGAGCAAACAGGAUUAGAUACCCUGGUAGUCCGCACCGUAAACGAUGUACACUAGGUGUUGGGGCAUGAGUCUCAGUGCCAAAGCUAACGUGAUAAGUGUACCGCCUGGGAAGUAUGCCCGCAAGGGUGA